GGCCAGGUAGGGUAGACUGGAGAGCUGCGUGAGGCUCUUAAUCUCAGGGCUGUGGGUUCGAGCGCCACGCUGGGCA